UACAGAGGUCUCAAGCGUUGUUCGGAUUCAUUGGGCGUAAAGGGUGCGUAGGCGGCGCGGUAAGUCGGGUGUGAAAUCUCGGAGCUUAAACUCCGAACUGCAUUCGAUACUGCCGUGCUUGAGGACUGGAGAGGAGACUGGAAUUUACGGUGUAAGCGGUGAAAUGCGUAGAUAUCGUAAGGAAGACCAGUGGCGGAAAGGCGGGU
rnacentral:rRNA from 1 species